UAAAUAUUUGAUGUCAAAGUUGUCAUGCGUGGUCACAAGAGGAUGUUUAGCCCUUUCUAACACCACUUGUGUCAUCAUUUGGUUGAAGGCGGGAGUACGGUUCACACUGUCGAGUGGUAAAGUAAUCUAAAGGCUUUCUACUGUCCAUCGCGGUUAGAAAACAAUUCUUGUGGGAACGCCGAUUAAAUCAGCGAGUUCCUAUUACCGGGCCAUGUACUGGUGUAUUUUUCCCGAAAAUAACACAGGAUGCGGAGGCUGCAGAGGCUGCGGAGGAGGCAGCCGCCUACUUCCGUACGAGAGCUGCCAUCCUAGAUGAAUACCAACUAAAUCACCCAAUAGAAGCGAACGGCAUCGACUUGUGCCACUUUAACUCCAGGUCCAGGCUCACCUUUCUUUCAGUUAUAACCCUUCCCACUAUCUGCAAAGAGCUGGAGCUUCAAGUGCCCGGAGCAACCCGACGCAAAGCUUCUUUUGUAGCCACGCUCGUGGAUGUUAUUCAAAGAUGUAGUUGCGCAAAAUAAAUCCACGAUUUCUUGGGUCCCGAUUAUAUUUUUUCGGUAAUCCUGUGUUCUGUUGUGAAGACCAGAGUAAGUUUUUACACUUUAAUACUCUCUUUUACUAAAAAGGAGAACAGCUUACGGUGAGAGGCCUCAAUAUCGCAAAUGUCUCAGCGUUCUUGCAUAAUUUGUAUUUUUAUUUGAUCAAAUUUGUAGUUGAACAAAGGCUUUGAAAAUAUGCGAAUUUUGACAAUUUGAUCAAGCUUUUUGUUUAAUUACAAUUUAAAACUGUACAAAAUUCUGCCAGUAUCGCUUGUUAAUUAAAUAAAAACAUGCAAAACUCUCAUUUUCUUCUUUUGGACGUUUUUAUUUUUCAAUAAGUAAUUAUCAGAAAAGUCUUAUUGCAGUCAUGGUGAGGUAUUUUAUGCUUGUCGCUUUGUUUGUCACCUUUUAAUUACGUAUGCAUGGCAGCAAACAAAAUAGUAUCACGCGAGCCUAAAAACCGCAAUUUAAUGCAAUAAAUGCUAUGAAAUUAUUACCAUUAAAUUUUAGUAUUGCCGACAGUAUAUUUCUUUUGAUUUGAGCGCUCUUUCUUGUUUUUCUGGAGAUUUGAAGGCGUUGUUUGAAUGCGGAAAACCUGAUACAGUAGUCUGCAUUAGUUUAUAAUUAGGGUCAAGUGGGGGUCAUAUUUCGGCUUGUAAAAAAGUCGGAUUUUAUUUGCCCCUAAAUUUUAUUUCAUAUAUCAAACGUAGAAAUGAUGUUCUUUUCGAUGAAUGCAAUCAUUUUUGCCAAAUCCACAUCUCAUCGGCGAUAUUACACGAUCAUUUCAGGGCUUUUCAAAGUCAUCUAAAAA